UGCAGCCCAGUCAAAUUCGGUCCCUGUCUCUCAGUGUCGGGGACCGGCCACCGGCUGCCACAGCAACCCCGUGCUCCGCAUGUCCCCCGUCCCCUCCCGUGGGACUGGGGACACGGAUCCCACGGACACGU